UACGGAAGGCAGCAGUGGGGAAUAUUGCACAAUGGGCGCAAGCCUGAUGCAGCCAUGCCGCGUGUAUGAAGAAGGCCUUCGGGUUGUAAAGUACUUUCAGUCGUGAGGAAGGUGUUAAGGUUAAUAACCUUAGCAAUUGACGUUAGCGACAGAAGAAGCACCGGCUAACUCCGUGCCAGCAGCCGCGGUAAUACGGAGGGUGCGAGCGUUAAUCGGAAUUACUGGGCGUAAAGGGCACGCAGGCGGUUAAUUAAGUUGGAUGUGAAAUCCCCGGGCUUAACCUGGGAAUGGCAUUCAAGACUGGUUAGCUAGAGUCUUGUAGAGGGGGUAGAAUUCCGAUGUGUAGCGGUGAAAUGCGUAGAGAUGUGGAGGAAUACCGGGUGGCGAAGGCGGCCCCUGGGACAAAGACUGACGCUCAUGUGCGAAAGCGUGGGGAGCAAACAGGGAUUAGAUACC
rnacentral:rRNA from 1 species